CCCUCGGCCCGGACACCCCAUCAUCCCGCCAACGCAUUCUCAGCAUCAGCAAGGAAGCGCGUUCGCGGCGCCAUUAUUCCAGGAGAGCGCUCAAGGAAGCGAGAGUGAGAGUAUGCCUGACACAGCAUCUCGCUCAUUCCAGUGCUCAGCCCCAUCUUCCCCCUCCACACACGCACGCGCGCACACGCAUGGUGAAACGAUGACGGUGCUGAGGCGAAUGCGACUUACCUUCGUUGGAACCGGCGUGUCGAGUGCGAUUCCGGUUAUCGGUCAUCUGACGACAGACUGCGCGUGCCGCGAUGCCAUCGCCAACCCAAGUGGCCCGAACCGCCGCAAUAACGUAUCGCUGCUCAUCUCCCUGCCUUUCGCAGAGGGCGAGUCGGGUGUGGAGUGGCAUCACGUGCUGAUUGAUUGUGGCAAAACAUUCCGUAGUGCCUACAUGCGCGUGCUGGCGCCGAUGCGGGUGCAGUACGUGGAUGCACUCCUCAUCACGCACGGACACGCAGACGCCAUGCACUGCGUGGAAGAGUUGUGUGGCAUGCAGGCCGAAGCAGCCGCGCGCUAUGCGCAGUCGUCGUCGCCGUCGAGUGCAGCCAGAACUCUCGCCCCUACCGUCGUUCCCCGCACUCUUCGGCGAGUCCCGACAUUCCUCACUGCGCCGACCCUCGACCAGAUCGCAAUGGUCUCACCGGAGCUUGUCACGCAGAGCUUCCACAUCGGUGCGGCCCCGACAACGGAGAUGGCUUAUCAUAGCGCACUAGCCGCAACGGCCGACACGACCGCCGGGUCGUCCUCCUCCGCUGAGGCGCUGUCGACGGUGAUGGAUAUCUUCUACAUGGAUGACAAGAAGCCACAGCGCAUGCACGUACCCUUCGGGCCUCUGAGCCCUGCAGCAUCAGCCGCACGAGGCGUCAAUGCCACCGACCCCGCGAGUGACCUGCCCUUCUACUCCUUCCCAGUGGAGCACGGAAAGGGCUACGUCUCCAUGGCGUGGGUGUUCGGCCGUGGCACCGCCUUCAAGAGCCGGCAAACACAGCAGCAGGGGCAGCAGCAGGAGGAGGGGAGCUGCGUCGUGUACAUCUCAGACGUGAGCCACAUUCCGGCGACCUCGAUGGCGUUCCUGCAAGACCUCGUGAAGAUCGAUGUCCUCGUACUGGACCUGCUCGCCGAGCACGGGGCGCCGUCGGCGUCGCACUACUGCGCAGACGAAGCUAUCCCUCUCGUCGUGGCACUCGCGCCACGGCGCACGUACUUCGUUGGCAUGUUCUGCAGCCUCGAGCAUCACCGCGCAAACGAGGCACUGACGCGAGAGCUGGCCGAGCUAAAGAUGCGAUAUCGAGACGAACUCGAGGUCGUCGUGCCGGGGUCGUCGGUUCCCGCCGUCAUGGGCGCUGACAGGGAGAAGAAGCUCGCAUUUGUGAACCGGGUUUGUUCCAUGGAACUGGCGUAUGAUGGCCAAGAGCUCGACAUGGAUGCGUGAGUGAGAAGCCUUACCGGCGGCGUUGGCGGUGGCUGCUGUGCCCUCCAUCUCCCUCCUCCCUCGCCCCGCGUUGGUAUCUGCCUCGCAUUCUUACCGCAGCCGUUGUUUCACCGACGCGGGCCCACGGCAAGCCUGCGUGUGGGGAGGGGAGGAGGACUGUAUGGGUGCCGAUGUCGUCACGGCAACGGAAGCGGAUGCUGCUUAGCGAUGCACAGCACGCAUACAUAGCGAGGGCACACGGAAGGGACACAAAAAAAAAACACACAUAGUGCCGUGCGUUUGUUUGUUUGCUUUUGGCUCGUGACAUCGCACCACUGAAACACUCGCGCGUCUGGAGGUGCGAGGGAAACGGGUGCCGGCUUCGUCAUGCAACGUGAUCACGACGACGCUGGAUAUGGGUAUCGAGGUC
rnacentral:misc_RNA from 1 species